CGACCGCUGGCGGCGUGCUUCACACAUGCACGUCGAACGGAAAGGCCCUGCUUUUGUGGGGUGCUCGAGUGGCGAACGGGUGAGUAACACGUGAGUAACCUGCCCUUGACUUUGGGAUAACUUCAGGAAACUGGGGCUAAUACCGGAUAGGAGCUCCUGCUGCAUGGUGGGGGUUGGAAAGUUUCGGCGGUUGGGGAUGGACUCGCGGCUUAUCAGCUUGUUGGUGGGGUAGUGGCUUACCAAGGCUUUGACGGGUAGCCGGCCUGAGAGGGUGACCGGCCACAUUGGGACUGAGAUACGGCCCAGACUCCUACGGGAGGCAGCAGUGGGGAAUAUUGCACAAUGGGCGGAAGCCUGAUGCAGCAACGCCGCGUGCGGGAUGACGGCCUUCGGGUUGUAAACCGCUUUCGCCUGUGACGAAGCGUGAGUGACGGUAAUGGGUAAAGAAGCACCGGCUAACUACGUG
rnacentral:rRNA from 1 species